GCCUUUGAUGCGGCACCGUCGGUCUGGGCCAA
rnacentral:scRNA from 1 species